CUAUAGGACUUCAGCAGGUGCUGUCAAAUGCAGGUUUCUGAUAACUUUGGAUGUUGUGAUGAUGGGAUAGAGGAAAAAUGUACAGGACUCAUGAAGAGCUGUGAUGUUCAUGAAUAUCAAGCAAAGCAAAAAGUCAAGGAAAAUUUGAGCCAUCUGCAACUUUUAAAAAUUGAGUAAAGUAUAUUCCUGUGAAUGAAAUUUGAAGGAUAGUUGUUUCUCCUUACCUGGUUUCUCCAGAAUUUGGAAACUAUUUGCCAUCAAACUCCAAAUGUUCAUGCAACUGGAGCCUCAUAUUAUGGCUGCCAUUUACCAGAGACCCUUAGAUAGGCAUAUGAGAGAGAUCUGACUGCUCUCUUUCCAAAACAGCUUACCUGUCAGCAGAAAGCAGUUAAGAGUGAUCACCAUCCUUUUCCUAAGGGCAGUGUACCUCUUGAUAGGGGAAAAUUAAUUGUGGCAGGAGGCAGACAAAUGCCUAGGAAGAUAGGGGCACUUCUCUGGUAAAACCCUACCUUCAAGCCAAAAACAGCCUGAAGACUGAAAAACCAGACUGCUGGUUCCUGAUGAAAAACAUGACCUGGAGUGAGAAAUUCUGUUUCUGUUUUCCUGUCCUUUUCCAAUUGGUUAUUUCUGAAUUAUACUUUUUAACCAAUUGAAUGUUGCUUUUUCCAAGACUACCUAUGGCCUGCCCCACCACCAUCCUGUGCCUACAAAAACUCCAGACUCAGCCAUUCUGGGGGAGAAAUGACCUGACUGCAGGAGUGGGGGACCACUCCUGUGUCCCCUCUCCCCUGAGAGCUGUUCCGUUGCUCAAUCAAAUUAUUCUAGCAUGGUACUUGUACCAAAAGAGAGAUAUAGAUCAAUGGAACAGAACAGAGCCCUCAGAAAUAACACUGCAUAUCUACAACUAUCUGAUCUUUGACAAAUCUGAGAAAAACAAGCAAUGGGGAAAGGAUUUCCUAUUUAAUAAAUGGUGCUGGGAAAACUGGCUAGCCAUAUGAGAAAGCUAAAACUGGAUCCCUUCCUUACACCUUAUACAAAAAUUAAUUCAAGAUGGAUUAAAGACUUACAUGUUAGACCUAAAACCAUAAAAACCCUAGAAGAAAACCUAGGCAUUACCAUUCAGGACAUAGGCAUGGGCAAGGACUUCAUGUCUAAAACACCAAAAGCAAUGGCAACAAAAGCCACAAUUGACAAAUGGGAUCUAAUUAAACUAAAGAGCUUCUGCACAGCAAAAGAAACUACCAUCAGAGUGAACAGGCAACCUACAGAAUGGGAGAAAAUUUUUGCAACCUACUCAUCUGACAAAGGGCUAAUAUCCAGAAUCUACAAUGAACUCAAACAAAUUUAC